rnacentral:rRNA from 1 species
CAGCAGCCGCGGUAAAACGAAGGGGGCUAGCGUUACUCGGAAUUACUGGGCGUAAAGGGCGCGUAGGCGGCACGAUUAGUCCGGCGUGAAAUUCCUGGGCUCAACCUGGGGACUGCGCUUGAUACGGUCGAGCUAGAGGAUGGAAGAGGGUCGUGGAAUUCCCAGUGUAGAGGUGAAAUUCGUAGAUAUUGGGAAGAACACCGGUGGCGAAGGCGGCGACCUGGUCCAUUACUGACGCUGAGGCGCGACAGCGUGGGGAGCAAACAGGAUUAGAUACCCCCGUAGUCCCUGUCUCUUAUAC